GAAAAGUUUAUUUCUUCCAGUUUUUUUUCUUCCAUGACUGCAUUUAGAACACAGUGACAGGGUACAUGAAUUUGGGCUCUUUAGAUAGAAUCAGUUCUGGAUUUCUUUUAUUAUUUUGUCACAGUGCUUCAGUGCUGGUUCUAGAUUAGAUAAAUCAAUCGCAUUUGAGGAGGGUUUCCUACAGUUCACAUAUGAACACACACACACGUACACACACACAUGCUCACACACACACACGUACACACACACAUGCUCACACACACACACGCUCACACACACACAUACCCUCCAAACAUUCUAGCCAGAAGCUGUCUUUGCUCUUUCCUUUCAGCAUGGCUUCUAUCCAGAGCCGAUUGCAGAAAACAGCAGCUCCCCAGCACUAUUGCUGACAGUAAUCUCAAGGAAAGAAUUGCACCUACUCAAGCCUGAGAACAUAUUCAAGAAGUUAAUUAUUUUCCUAGUGUGGUCCUUGGAGCGACUUUUUUUGUUUUGUUUUAACCUUGUUUCACUAUAAAGUGCCAUGGGGUAUUAUUCCUGUGGAACAUAUGGGGUACUAUAUAAAACCAAGUUGUUGCUGAUUUUACUUGAAAUCAGUUUUUAUUUCCUGUUUUAUGUCUACUUGUUUACAGCACCUUGAAACAUCUUUGGUGUGUUUGCCCUGUGCUGAGGCCUUUGCAAUGAGAGCGGCAUCUCUCUGGUUCCUGGAUAGCUCACUCUGGAGUGCUGCAUCCCUGUAUGUCGAGAGAAGGAUAGAGGAGAACAAGAGGAUAAGAAACGCUGCUGUCUUCUCCCCAGCUGGGGGAAAAGCCACAUCCCAGAAAUGGUGCAGAACCCAAUACAGAAGCGGAGCUCUCUGCAAAUUCACUCUCCUCACCCACUUCAUCCAGUUUCUCUGAGCCUCCAGGUGGUGUCUCCUACGUGCCCAGGUCCAGUGAGUAAUCACAUGGCUUCCACUGCUUUUUCCUCUUCUCCAUUCCUGCGUUCCCUCUGCCAGGAGGCCUUAGGUCUGGCAGGCCAGGCGCUGGCUUUACUGCCACUGCUGUUGAGUGCUGCUGCACCAGCCAGGCCCCACCUGUCAACUCAGCUUCCCAGCUCCUGACAGAUAGUGUCUCCUCACAAGAGCCUGCCUCCACUCCUGCUAUUUCUCCUUCGUCCUUCACCUACUCUAGUGUUCUCAAACCUUGGAGAUGUUGGCAGUGGUCUGUGUAACUGUGUUGUAUACUACAGAAAGUACCAAAACAUACUGUCGGCUCUUAGAAAAUUUGCAGUGAGGAAUUCUUUCCAUUUUCACACAUGGUCCUCACUCUCUCAAGACUCCAACUCAGGGAACUAGGGACAACCCUGUGGAAUUCCCAGAAUCACCCCACCCCCAGCUAGGCCAGGCGCAUAAACCUGGCUUUCUUCCCCGAGGGGGUGGGCUUUUCUUCCAGACACAACUCUGCCCCUGUGUGAACGCACAUAUAGCAGGCCUACCACACUGGUUCACAAGGUGACUGGACAUAUCUCAGUCCCUGUGAUGGAUGUGGUUUAUGUUCAAGCUGAGAUCGCUGCCCCAUGCAUGAUAAUUGAGGAAAUUAUGUAGUGAAUUCCUUCAGAAGCCCCAUUAAGUCACUACAGCUGAGAAGAAAAGCCUUAUAGAUUAAGAUAUUUAUUUCCAAGAGGUGAGAAAACUGAUCUUAACUAGCAUAGAAAAUUGGCUGGCUCAUAACUGAACAGUGGGAACAGUGGAAGAUUCUACUUCAGUCACAGCUUGAUCCAGCACUCAUACAAGGGAUCAGGACCCAAUUUCCCACCUCUUGUUUUUUGAUGCCACUUCGUUGGCUCUGCUAUUAGGCUGGUUGAUACUAGGGUCUCUACCAGCAUAUCCCACUACAGUAUUCGAAUCUGUUUGUAACCAGUGGGAAAGAGAAGGUAAAUUAACAUCCUUUUCUUAGAAGCCCUGGCAAAAAGUCUUCUUGUGUCUCCUUGGCUCUGGCUGGUGAACCUCCUGAGCCAUCACAAUGGCUGGAGUAAGGCAAUGUGCUGAAUGGAUUAGGAAUGUGAUCACUGCUCCACCCCUGCAUCUGGGGAUGGAGUAAGGCUACCUGCAGUCACGUGACUGAGAGUGGAUAAAGGAGCUAUUUCCUAAAGGAAAGUCAGAAUACUGUUUUGUAAAAAGAGAGGAGGAAUAGAAGCUAAGAGGCCAACAUUCAAAAUAUAAAUAUUACACUACAAUUUAAGAUCUAAAAUAUUGCUGUCAUAUUGGCCCAAGGGUAAUUUAACAACCUUGAGUAGAGUUAUUUGCCCUGUGGAGAGUUUGAUGAAUAUUGAAACUCAAUGAAAUGUGUGUGGGUAUGGGUAAGAAGAGGGAGAUGGCUUCGGCAGACUCACCUGGGUCUCUGGAUCCCUGGAAGAACAUCCAACAAUGACCCAUCAUGCAGUUAAUAUGGUAGGUCCAACACUGCUUGGGGUCAAUGAGAUCAGAGACCAGAUAAGAAUCAGCUGUAAACCACUCAAAUUACACAAGAUAAAAAUUGUGUGUCAAAUGAAAAAGUAAAACAAAAAAUAAUUCACAAAAAUAUAGAACUACAGAUAUAAUCUAUAACCACAGAUACAAUCUAUGAGUUAAGGAGAACUUCCUAACCAAGACUAGAAAUUCAAAGGCUAGAUAAAAAGGAUAGGCAGAUUUGAAUAUAUAAAUAUUAAGGUUAUGGCAAAAGAGCCAAUAAAUAAAAUCACAGUCAAAUAUCAGAGCUAGAGAAAAAGGUUUUUUACCAGGUUUAAAACAAUUGGCACCUGUAACAUACAAAAGCUCUUAAAAUUGUAAAGAGUAAGUCAAUCCAGCAGAAAAGAAGAGUUGGUAAAACACAGUAGACAAGUAUCUCAAGAGCAAAUUUAAAUGUCCAAGAACAUUCUUUUAAACACUCAAAUUCACUUGUAGUCAAGGAAAUGCAAAUUAAAGUAACAAUGAGAUGUCAUUUUACAGCCACCAGAUAGACAAAUUAGUAAGAAUGAUCACACCCAGUGACGGUGAGCUGGUGGGGAUGUGAUAGAAAGGGUACUCAUACAUAUAAUGGCAGAAAUAUGGUGUCUUACAGCUGUUCAGAAAAGCAAUUUAGCAAUAAUUAUAAAAAUUGAAACAACAUUUAGUAUUCAAUUCAGCAAUUGCACUCUUGAAAAUUUAGCUCAGAGAAAUUAAAGAACCAACACAUGAAGAUAUUUAAGUAUGCGUGUGUGUGUGUCAUCAUUGUUCAAAGAGCGAAAAAAACUGGAAACAAAAUAAAUGUUCAUUAAUAAGUGAGCAGCCAAAAUAUUAUGGAAUAUUUAUACCAUGGAGAAUUAGGCAACCAAUAAAAAGAAUGAAGUAGAGUUAUGCCAGUUAACUGGAGGGAGCCCACAAGGUUUAGUUAGUGAACAACUCAGGUUGUAAUAUAAUAUAAUAUAAUAUAAUUGAUUACUUUUAUAAAACAAUGCUGGUUAUUAUAAAUCUGUGUUAUAUUAAUACAAAGAAUGAUAUGGAAGAUCACACAGUAGAUUUUUAAAAAUUGAUUACCUGGAAAAGAAACAUAGAGGUGUGGAGUGGUGACCAACCAUCCUUGUUUGCCUGGGACUGAAAAGUUUUCUAGAAUGUGGGGGUUUUACAGCCAAAAUUCAGAUAGUCUCAAGAAAACAGUGAUUGUUAGUCACCCUAUGGGUGAGGGAGUAUAGGAUGGAGAGGGAAGGGAAAGUCAAGGCAAAAAAGGGGAAAGAUAUGACUAAAAAUCAUGUAAUCAUAUAUGCGUUCGUGUAAAAUUAUUUAUCUUUGUCAAUGUUGGUAAAAAUAAGUUUUAAACAUGUUCAUUUUCACAAGUUUUUAUAAUACUUGAGGGAAGACUUAAGUCUCUCUCACAGACUCCUGUGAUUUUGAAGAAGCUACUCUAGAAAUACAAGGGCUAAUGGCGUCUUCAAUGAGCAAAAAAGUGUCAUUUGUUUAGUCAAUAAUUGUUCAUUAAACAUCUAUUCCACGUAUUAAUUUACCUAUUAGUAACACAACACAUAGAAGGCAGUCCAUAAAUGCAUUGAAUAAGUAAGCAAAUGCAUGACCAUAAUUAUAAUGCAUAUGAUUAAUAUAAUCACCACAAUAUAUUGUAACAUAUAUACAGCAUGAGAACAUAUUGCAAUAACAAUGUUUAAUAGAGGUAACAACAGAAACCCUGUAGAGGUAAACACAGAAAAGGUGCACUGACUUUGCCUAGUGAGAUCUUGGAAAUACAGCCGAAGAAAAAUAUGGGGAGUUUGAAAAAACAAGAGUUUACAGCUAGGAAAAAGGAAAGUGGAAAAUCCAGAAAGCAGGAAAAUCCCAUACAAAGCCAAGAGUCACAGAAAAGAAAAGCGUAUUUGGGAAAGAGUGUGGCAUAAGGAAAAAGAGGAAGCUGGGAAAGGAGAGGUGAGAAGAUGAGGCUGCACAAGGAGAGGCGAGAUGCCUGCGCACCUGCCAAGCGGAUGGAAUUCAUUUUGAAGGCACUAGGAAGACAGGAAGCCUCACAUCAGAGAAGAGCCACAAUUGGAUUUCGUUUUUAGGAAGAUAACACAAGCACCAAGAUGGCAAAUUGACUUUAUGUCAAAUGCCAGUUCCAGCUGAUCAGUCAUGAGAGCUGAAGGACAAUGUUAAGAAAGACUGGGUGGUCACCCACGUCUGGCUUAGCAGUUGAAGUGCCGUGACCGAUUAGCAAUGUCUACUAUGGACAAGGGAGAAGGGGAAUGGUGACAAGGUUGCUGUGUGUUUUCCAAGACCACAACUACUACUAGCAAUGUGGAGGAGGGCCCACGUGGAAGAGAUCAUUGUCAGGGAGAGUGGUGAUUUACUAAUCCAUACAAGAGGUGAUGGACAUCUGGAGAGGUACAGUGGAGGAGCCAGACUCACAAGAGAUUUCAGAGGUGCAAUCAGGAGGAUCUGCUGAAUGAAUUGAGUCAUGGAUGAGAUCCAGGCACUAAGGGCGUCUCUGGCAAGCGAGCAAAUUUCAGAUGAGGAUUGCUUUAUGGUAUUGGAACCAAACCCACUUG
ensembl:lncRNA